rnacentral:rRNA from 1 species
UACGUAGGGACCAAGCGUUGUUCGGAUUUACUGGGCGUAAAGGGCGCGUAGGCGGCCUCCGCAAGUCAGUUGUGAAAUCUCCGAGCUUAACUCGGAAAGGUCAACUGAUACUGCGGGGCUAGAGUGCGGAAGGGGCAACUGGAAUUCUUGGUGUAGCGGUGAAAUGCGUAGAUAUCAAGAGGAACACCUGCGGCGAAGGCGGGUUGCUGGGCCGACACUGACGCUGAGGCGCGAAAGCUAGGGGAGCGAACGGG